UACGGAGGGUGCAAGCAUUAAUCGGAAUUAUUGGGCGUAAAGGGCGCGUAGGCGGAUCAGCAAGUCAGAUGUGAAAUUUCGAAGCUCAAAUUCGAAGCUGCAUUUGAAACUACUAGUCUAGAGGGUUGACGGAGAAAACGGAAUUCCACGUGUAGCGGUGAAAUGCGUAGAUAUGUGGAAGAACACCUGUGGCGAAAGCGGUUUUCUAGUUAACACCUGACGCUGAGGCGCGAGAGCAAGGGGAGCAAACAGG
rnacentral:rRNA from 1 species